CGGGUGAGUAGCACGUGGAUAACCCACCUAUAAGACUGGGAUAACUUCGGGAAACCGGAGCUAAUACCGGAUAAUAUAUUGAACCGCAUGGUUCAAUAGUGAAAGACGGUUUUGCUGUCACUUAUAGAUGGAUCCGCGCCGCAUUAGCUAGUUGGUAAGGUAACGGCUUACCAAGGCGACGAUGCGUAGCCGACCUGAGAGGGUGAUCGGCCACACUGGAACUGAGACACGGUCCAG
rnacentral:rRNA from 1 species